UCGUAACAAGGUUUCCGUAGGGAACCUGCGGAAGGAUCAUU
rnacentral:rRNA from 1 species